rnacentral:rRNA from 1 species
ACCGGACAAAGGGCAAGCAAAGUUCGCGAGGACAAGCAANUCCCAUAAACCGUGGCUCAGUUCAGAUCGUAGGCUGCAACUCGCCUACGUGAAGGAGGAAUCGCUAGUAAUCGCAGGUCAGCAUACUGCGGUGAAUACGUUCCCGGGCCUUGUACACACCGCCCGUCACACCAUGGAAGUUGGCCACGCCCGAAGCCGUUACUCCAACCCUCGGGAGGAGGACGUCGAAGGUGGGGCUGAUGACUGGGGUGAAGUCGUAACAAGGUAUCCGUACCGGAAGGUGCGGAUGGAUCACCUCCUAA